AUGGACCGGCCCUGGUUGCAGCAAGAGAUCAUCGUAUGGGAUCCUCUCACAGGCCAACAGCACCACGUGUCUUUUCCAGCGGGUCUCCAGAAUGGCAAAGGGAGGAAUUCAAAUAACUGGCGCGCUGCGGUGUUGCGUGUUGACCCUGAAGAUGCGCAUAUACAUGGUGGUUGCUUCUCGAGCCUGUUCAAAUUGAUCUUGAUCUGCAAUGUAGGUACACAUAUAUUCGCUUGUGUCUAUGAAUCCACGUCUGCUGCAUGGGGAAAUAUCGUCUCUCUGUCAUCAACAGGUCGGAUAUGUCGUACAAGGCCGGACGUUCUUGUUGGGAAUGCACUUUGUUGGUUGCUUAGUGGAGGCGACGUUCUUGCGUUUGAUCUUGAAAGUCAACACCUUGGUGUGACUGAGAAGCCAGCGGAUGCCCAUAUUGUGCAUUGCUGCCAAGGAUAUGUCCAGAUCCUACGGACACAGGAUAGUGGACUUGGUCUUGCCGUUUUAUCAAAACACAACAUCCAGUUUUGGGAGAGGAAAUCAAACACUGAUAAUGUUGCUGGAUGGGUUCGGCUGCAGAAAACCAUUCAGUUCGAGCUGUUUCCACUCAUCAACCGCAACCUACUUAUAAUGGGGUAUGACGAGGACUCAAAUGUGAUUGUUCUGUCUACAAGGAUUGGCUGUUUCACGGUCCAACUUGAUUCGAUGCAGAUCCGGCAUAUUAUUGAAAGAAACUGGAUGUGUUACAACACCUUGUAUCCCUACAAGAAUUUCUAUACCGCAGGCAAUACCUAG
rnacentral:rRNA from 1 species